GUGUAUGGCGGAGAGGCGUGUACACGUGAGGUACUUGGCAUAGAGAAGAGGUACAUUUUUGCCACUUAAAAUUAUCAAAUGGCUUUGUCACUGUGGUGGUACCCUAAAAAGGCACAUUUGUACCUUUUGGCUCUUUUGAGGUAUGUACUGCAAGGGUACAAUUAUGUACUUGUAACUAAUGGUACAAUGGAUGUACCUUACAGGGUAGCACUACAUUGACAAUCAUUUGUACUCCUUUAAGUACAAUGCAGUACCUUUUUUUUCUGAGAGUGUAGUUGUGACUGCUACGAUGAUAGGUUUUCAGGAACAUCUUUUGAUGAUUCCAGUUCCUGUACAACCGGUUCUUUCUUUGAACACAGCAUUGACAGAUCUCUUGCAUGACAGCUGCAGGCAAUCCAUGAUCUGUGUACUGUCCUGCUGUGCAACAUAAGGAUUUGAUCCACAACUGCGAGAGUUACCUCACAUUCAAGGAUACUGGACGUAUUGGAGCAAAAGCUGAUAUCUGCCAACUGAAGUAACAAAGACAAGGAGGUGUCUCAACAUGAGAAGCACUCUGUGGAUGG